UCCUUGACUAUACCCAAUAAUCUUCCAUCACUAAAUUAAAAAUUUAGAUAGUCUGGUAUCAAAUUACAAUGAGUUACUUGCGAGUCACCAUGGUAAUCUCAGGUUGGAGGGACACUUAUGCCCAUAUUCUUUAUAAGUAGCUCUUGACAGCAGAGCACUCCGCAGGUGAGUCACUUAUUCAGUGGUGAUGUACUCCUACAUCUCACUUGUAUGUCAUAUUAGUAUCUCUACACUUCUUGAUUACAAGGACAACCAAUCUAUAUAGCA
rnacentral:lncRNA from 1 species